GCUGGGUGUGGUGGCUCACACCUGUAAUCCCAGCACUUUGGGAGGCCGAGGUGGGUGGAUCACCUGAGGUCAGGAGUUCAAGACCAGCCUGACCAACAUGGUGAAACCCCAUCUCUA
rnacentral:SRP_RNA from 1 species